CAGAUUAGAGCUUGAUUAGGAAGUUUUUUAUUUACAUUAAAGAGGUAAUCGUGCAAUUCGAUUUAAUUUGA
rnacentral:tRNA from 1 species